CACCACCUCAGAUGUCUUUCAGUUCCAUACAUGAAGUUGGCAAUGUAUUGAAAAUGCACAUCCCUCUUCUGCUUUUACAGACUGUCUUAUACAAACGUGAAAACUAUUUCCAUGCAUAUGGGUUUUAAAUAGCUUGGUGGGACCCAAUUGCACAUUUAUGAAAACUCUUUAAUUUCAGCAGGCGUUCACUUUCCAGUGGCCUCUUCUAACCCAGGGGGCUGGUGACCAGCAGGGUGUGGUGGUGUUAGUGGAACACCACGAAAAUGGGUCUACCUGGGAAAAAAAUGCUGGUCGUGUGCGAAGUCCAAGGUCAUUUCUCACCAGUGCCCACCCAUCGCACCCUGUAGGUCGCACCAUGUACGUCAUCCCAUUCAGCAUGGGGCCGCUGGGCUCGCCUCUGUCGAAGAUCGGCAUCGAGCUGACAGAUUCACCCUAUGUGGUGGCCAGCAUGCGGAUCAUGACGCGGAUGGGCACGCCGGUCCUGGAAGCACUGGGCGAUGGGGAGUUUGUCAAAUGCCUCCAUUCUGUGGGGUGCCCUCUGCCUUUACAAAAGCCUUUGGUCAACAACUGGCCCUGCAACCCGGAGCUGACGCUCAUCGCCCACCUGCCUGACCGCAGAGAGAUCAUCUCCUUUGGCAGUGGGUACGGCGGGAACUCGCUGCUCGGGAAGAAGUGCUUUGCUCUCAGGAUGGCCAGCCGGCUGGCCAAGGAGGAAGGGUGGCUGGCAGAGCACAUGCUGAUUCUGGGUAUAACCAACCCUGAGGGUGAGAAGAAGUACCUGG
rnacentral:sRNA from 1 species